rnacentral:lncRNA from 1 species
GUUUUAUUUUAUUUUUAUUUCUCCUCGUGCACAUAAUGCAAAUUGUUUUUGUUUUUUUUGCUUUUGAGUUGAACGUGACAUUUGAACAGUGACGUGUCAUUAGUUGUGUAUGUGUUUUUAUUUCUUUACUAUUGUCACUGCAUAACGUACAUUUUGGGUUUUGGGAAAUUGUGACUCAUUAAAGAUGGAUGAGCUGAACUUAUCUGCUUUAGGCAGGGGUCAGACAUUUAUGUUUAGCCCAUCACUCCAGAAAGGAGGUUUUCGGGGGAGGCCUCUGACAUCCACUCCUCAACAGGCCAAAGUGAAUGGUGCUGAGGGUGGUGACGUUUCUUCUAGUGCUGAUCAGUUAGCUGGUCCAUCUGCAUUUUCUGGGGGUAGGGAUGUGGACCAUGUCCCUGUGCAUGUAUUAACUGACUUAUUUAAGCAGAUAGGGACUAGUAUUGGGGAGAACAUUGCCUCUUGUCUUAGGUCCGCCCCAACUGGUGAUGUUACUUUGGCCCCUUCGACCAUUGCUGAUCUCUCUAAGAUGAGCCUGACUGUUAGCCAGCAUAGUGGUGAACCGCAUCCCUUCAGGGGGGACAAGACUGACAAACUUUCGGUUUCUGAGUGGGAAGACUGUGUUAAAGUGUAUCUGACUAAGAGGGAUGUUCAGUUAUGUGAUCAGGCGGAAGAAGUAAUGGGCAGGCUACAGGGUAGAGCACGUGAUGUUGUGAGAGUGGGGGUGCGUAGCAAGCCUAGUUUGGUCUUACGGUUAGGUCCUCAACCCAUUUUCGACAUACUCAAGCAACACUUUAGUGAGUCUGUGACUUCUUUCAUGCCUCUUGCUGACUUCUAUGACACAAAGCCCUUAGAGAAUGAAAGUGCUGUUGACUAUUGGAUCCGGCUUAACAAGGCACUCGACACAGCUACGGAUGGGCUGAAAAGGCAAGGCAAAACUAUUGAUGACUCCUCUAGGGAAGUGACUGUCAUGUUCAUCACUCACUGUCCCGAUCGAGAACUGUCUCUGGUCUUCAGCUGUAGGCCACUGGAGGAGUGGACUGCCAUGGAUGUGCAGGUACGGCUUGAUGAGCACCAUCACAAAAAACGUCUUCAGCAACGCCAUUCAGCUGCACGUCCAACAGACCACCUGCAAUAUUCUCAGGCUGUUGAUGCUGUGCAUAGUCACGUGCAGACUGCAGUGACUCCUGCUGCCCAACCUGCCAUGACCGGCGGGCCGGCGUCAGGUGAGAGUCACGUUCUUGGGCAUAUUGUCACUCUGCUGGAGCGUUUGUUACAACGGGAGUCUCCUCAGCGUUACGGGCAGCCUAGACAGAGACCUGUCGGUCGCACCCGGGCUCGGGGGCCAUGCGCCAUUUGUGGCUGCGACGACCAUGACACUGCUUCCCACUGUCGGAACGAACGUCUAUGCUUCCGCUGCCAUGCUGCUGGGCAUCAAGCUGCCACUUGCUCAGCCCCACCUGCUCCUGGUUCACCCACGCAGCAGGGAAACUAGCUGACCCGCACGAGGAGGGGUCUAGUGAAGGGUCAGCUGGCGCAUCC